rnacentral:rRNA from 1 species
AGAGUUUGAUCAUGGCUCAAGACGAACGCUGGCGGCGUGCUUAACACAUGCAAGUCGAGCGAUGAAGUCCCUUCGGGGAUGAAUUAGCGGCGAACGGGUGAGGAACACGUGAGAAAUCUGCCUUCAACACUGGGAUAACUCCGGGAAACCGGGGCUAAUACCGGAUAUGAAACUCAGCGGCAUCGCUGGGUUUGGAAAGUUUUUCGGUUGAAGAUGAUCUCGCGGCCUAUCAGCUUGUUGGUGAGGUAAUGGCUCACCAAGGCGACGACGGGUAGCCGGCCUGAGAGGGCGACCGGCCACACUGGGACUGAGACACGGCCCAGACUCCUACGGGAGGCAGCAGUGGGGAAUAUUGGGCAAUGGAGGAAACUCUGACCCAGCGACGCCGCGUGCGGGAUGAAGGCCUUCGGGUUGUAAACCGCUUUCAGCAGGGAAGAAGCGAAAGUGACGGUACCUGCAGAAGAAGCACCGGCUAACUAUGUGCCAGCAGCCGCGGUAAUACAUAGGGUGCAAGCGUUGUCCGGAAUUAUUGGGCGUAAAGAGCUCGUAGGUGGUUCGUCACGUCGGAUGUGAAAAUCUGGGGCUCAACACCAGACCUGCAUUCGAUACGGGCGAGCUAGAGUUUGGUAGGGGAGACUGGAAUUCCUGGUGUAGCGGUGGAAUGCGCANAUAUCAGGAGGAACCCAAUGGC